UUGACCUCAAAUCAGGUAGGACUACCCGCUGAACUUAAGCAUAUCAAUAAGCGGAGGAAAAGAAACUAACAAGGAUUCCCCUAGUAACUGCGAGUGAAGCGGGAAAAGCUCAAAUUUUGAAUCUGGCAGUCUUAAUUGAUUGUCCGAAUUGUAAUCUAGAGAAGCGUCUUCCGC
rnacentral:rRNA from 1 species